UCCAUGGCCGUCGCCAAAAUCUCCUCUUGCUAAAACCCUAGCAAAGUUUCUGUUUUAGGGUUUUGUAAUGCGAUUCUUUCAUUUUAUGUUUCUUCUGAUAUACGAUAAGUCUAUUAAAGCAAAUGGGUUGUGAUUUGAAAGAGAGAGGCUUGAGUGGGGAAAUGAAGUGAAAGGUUAAAAAUUGACGGGGAAAAGAAAUGGAAGAAAGAAGAGAUUGCCGCCACUCUUCUUGUAGAGUAUGGCUUUGGGUUUCUCCAAUUUAUUUCGUUUCUUUUUCUCCGGAUUUUAACCUUUUAUUUCGAUUUAGGUUUUCCCACAGUGACGGAUCUUCUAUCUUAUACACUUGAUAUGAACCCAUGAGCAAACUUUCUUUUAUCAUCUUACUUAUUGUGGUUUUGAUUCGCAUUUGUUGUUUUUGAUGUGAGGAAACACUUCUUUUGUUAUUGUUUUCUUACUGAACAACUGUGCAUACAUAGAAAGCCUUAUUGCUCCCUGUUUUCUUAUUUUGGGAAAUUAGGGUUGGAAUUAGGCAGCGGCCAGACAACCGUAGGGAUGGUAUCCACAGAUGGCGAGUGAUUGAUAUCGCUUAUCUACUAAAUCCCAUCUCACAUUUUAUUUCAUCUAUUCAGUUAUUACACGCACAUGAAGUGUUUUUUUGUUGUGCUGUUCAUUGAUGCUUUAAUUGUGUGAGAAUUGAAAAGCCUUGAACUUGUUUGAUAAUAUGCCUAAAAGAAUCCAACCGAGACGCUGAAUUGGAUAGUGCUUACGUUAGCAGUGCAUGAUCUAAAGACAACCUCGUUGUACAAGUGAAUAUGAAUGGUGAAAGUCGAAUACAGAGGUGUUUGGUUUUUGAAAUGUGCUUGUUAGAAAUGCCAAAGGCACCAAUGUUUUGGAAAAGUCAGCUUUUCUUCUUUUUUGGUCAUUUGAGUAUUGUAAGAGGUACAAUUCCCCGUUCUCCUUAAAUCGAAGAUACCAGCACUGGUGUUUUUCUUAUGUAUGUUUAAUGUACACACUUUGAACAAAUGAAGCUACCUGUAAACAUUUUCUUGUGGGAUAGGAUCGUUAUUUCAUUUUAUGAAGAUGCAAAUCCUUGGUUUGGAUGUUUUCUUUGCUUA